CAGCCGCCGCGGGAAUACGUAGGUGACAAGCGUUGUCCGGAAUUAUUGGGCGUAAAGGGAGCGCAGGCGGUUGGAAUAGUCUGAUGUGAAAGCCCACGGCUUAGCCGUGGAAUUGCAUUGGAAACUGUCCAACUUGAAUGCAGAAGAGGAAAGCGGAAUUCCAUGUAUAGCGGUGAAAUGCGUAGAUAUAUGGAGGAACACCAGUGGCGAAGGCGGCUUUCUGGUCUGUGAUUGACGCUGAGGCUCGAAAGCGUGGGGAGCGAACAGGAUUAGAUACCCGCGUAGUCCCUGUCUCUUAUAC
rnacentral:rRNA from 1 species